UACGUAGGGUGCAAGCGUUGUCUGGAAUUAUUGGGCGUAAAGAGCUCGUAGGCGGUUCGUCGCGUCGGCUGUGAAAUCCCGAGGCUCAACCUCGGGUCUGCAGUCGAUACGGGCGGACUGGAGUUCGGCAGGGGAGACUGGAAUUCCUGGUGUAGCGGUGAAAUGCGCAGAUAUCAGGAGGAACACCUAUAGCGAAGGCAGCUUGCUGGGACGUUACUGACGCUAAGGCGCGAAAGCGUGGGGAGCGAACAGG
rnacentral:rRNA from 1 species